rnacentral:rRNA from 1 species
CAACAGGGAUUGCCCUAGUAACGGCGAGUGAAGCGGCAACAGCUCAAAUUUGAAAUCUGGCUCUUUCAGAGUCCGAGUUGUAAUUUGCAGAGGGCGCUUUGGCUUUGGCAGCGGUCCAAGUUCCUUGGAACAGGACGUCACAGAGGGUGAGAAUCCCGUACGUGGUCGCUAGCUAUUGCCGUGUAAAGCCCCUUCGACGAGUCGAGUUGUUUGGGAAUGCAGCUCUAAAUGGGAGGUAAAUUUCUUCUAAAGCUAAAUAUUGGCCAGAGACCGAUAGCGCACAAGUAGAGUGAUCGAAAGAUGAAAAGCACUUUGGAAAGAGAGUCAAACAGCACGUGAAAUUGUUGAAAGGGAAGCGCUUGCAGCCAGACUUGCUUGCAGUUGCUCAUCCGGGCUUUUGCCCGGUGCACUCUUCUGCAGGCAGGCCAGCAUCAGUUUGGGCGGUGGGAUAAAGGUCUCUGUCAUGUACCUCUCUUCGGGGAGGCCUUAUAGGGGAGGCGACAUACCACCAGCCUAGACUGAGGUCCGCGCAUCUGCUAGGAUGCUGGCGUAAUGGCUGUAAGCGGCCCGUCUUGAAACACGGACCAAGGAGUCUAACAUCUAUGCGAGUGUUUGGGUGUCAAGCCCGAGCGCGUAAUGAAAGUGAACGGAGGUGGGAACCCGCAAGGGUGCACCAUCGACCGAUCCUGAAGUUUACGGAAGGAUUUGAGUAAGAGCAUGGCUGUUGGGACCCGAAAGAUGGUGAACUAUGCUUGAAUAGGGUGAAGCCAGAGGAAACUCUGGUGGAGGCUCGCAGCGGUUCUGACGUGCAAAUCGAUCGUCAAAUUUGGGCAUAGGGGCGAAAGACUAUC